AGUGGAUGGAAAAACUUACUGGCCCUCUUCUUUUGGAUCAGAAGGGCUCGCCGUCCGUGACCAGACCAUGGAGUUUGAAAUGGCCUUCGGACCUCAGCCCAGAACCAUGGGGAAAGCGAGCAGGAGAUCUAACGGGAACGCAUGCAACAACCCCGAUCAACCCCACGGCUGAUGGUCGGAGCUGGGAGUUCCGCUACUGAGACACGAUGGAGGCCGCGAGGCAGAAACCGGAAAGGAACCAGCGCCGAAAUCUCAGUUAGCAAAGCUCAGGGCCAAAGACAGGAACCAGGGGAGCAGUCGACACGGAGCUAGAAGGUCCUGAGUCAGCGUUGAGAAACUGCCCUCGCGAGUGCCCUUGGCGGGGCCUCCUUAGCCUGGCCUGGGGCAGCUCCUUCGGGAAGUGUCCACCACGGCUCGGCUUGGGGGGUGGGAUUCAUCUUGGAGCCACCGGUCUCACACUCUGCGGACACGAAGAGAGAUAAGAUGUCUCUGGAGUCAUAAAGUUCACCAAGGCUCCAAGAUUGGGCUGCAUGCUCUGUGCCUCGGAGGCUGUCAUCUGUCACCAGGAUUUAUCGUUGUUGACAACGUGCUUCAAUAAUUUAUAAGCAGUGGGGCUCAUUUUGUGUUCCCCCUUUCCUCAGUUGUCUCAGUGAUGCAGGCAAAUUAAAAAACAUGCUUUUUGUCAGUGAAAUAAAUUGAGAGGAAUCAGACACCCUAGGAGGAGUAAUACAUACUGUGAAGGGGUUACUGCAACUAAAUGUUUUCCCAACACUACACAAUCAGAUAAAAACGGAAACAUACCAGGCUCUGUCGUGAACCUUCGAAUUUUGCUCUCCUGGUGACUGUACUGAAAUUAAGCCUGACCUCCUGUCCAUCCUCCAAACUGUGGAGUUGAUUUAUACUGAAUAUGCUGGCUUUCAACUUUUAAGGAAGGGCAAGAUAUAAUUUAAGCACUCGCAAUUCAUGACCUGUGGAAUUCGUUUGCUAAUUAUGUUAGUGAGAUGUAUAACUAGCAAUUGUUAUGCAUUGUUUCUAUGACUCUCUUGAAAAGAAGAUGCCUUUUAUUUCAGAGGAGCAUCAGGCAUCAGGGCAGGAAGGAGAAGGCCGUGCAGCCCUAACUUACACUCCUCCAUGUUCAGGAGAAAGCAUCCUGGGGACAUGCUUUUGCUCCAUGUUUGUUUAAGAUAAAAUGUAACACGCUCUAAUCCCCAGUCUGGCCUCAUCCCGAGGAGCCCGGGAGCCUGUCGGGGCAUAAGGUGUCCUGACUUUGGUGACUGGUUCUGCUCAUUGAAAUUCAGCUGUGGAGGAAGAAAGUGCCUCCUCCCUGCAGGCAGCUCGUGUCCCUGAACAAACCAGAUGGCUGGUCAGAGGCAACCUAAAGCGCAAUUUCCUCAGCCAAGUUCAAUACUCGGUUCCUCUCUGCCCCCAGUCGUUAGACAGACACCAGAAGGUGGACUCUGUCAUCUAGAUAAAGAAUGUAUUUAAGUUCCUGCAGAAACCGAAGAAGGAAAAGACUAGAUGAGAAAAUCCUACCCUGGCCCUUGCAACUGAGCCGGGCACACUCCAGCCUGCCAGUGUACCCAUAAUGGCCUUUUGGACUUUGGAUGCCUCGAGUUUUCAGUUUAAUUUUGGCAUUAGCUGUUCUCCCAAAUUUUCCACAUAGCUCAUGCCAUUAUUAGAAGUGUUUUUUGGAUAGACUGGUCCGAGUAAUUGAGUACAAACAUU